GGGCUCUAACCGCUGUCUGGAGACUACAGAGCUGGAGUCAUUUUCAUCCAGGGCACGCGUCUUGCCUUAGGCCAUGGCGCCCCCAGCUCUGCGGACGCAGCUGGGCCUCAGGAACUGCCCCUUCCUGCUGUUCCAGCUUGAAGCAUGUGGUAAAUCCAGAAAUGAUGAGUCCACGACAAAGCCAGACGAUGGGGAGCCCCAGAGGCAGGGCUUGGCCAAGUGCUCUCUGUGAACUCAGGCCUGCGCCUUUGAGAGGUGCAGGGGUCACUGGAAACAGGCCCAGAUGUGGGAGUGAGACGCCGGUGGGCACCCACAUCUCUCCCGCUCAGAAGAUGCUGGUGUCCCGAAUGGCCAAGCCUCCAUUCUAAAUUAGGCUGGUAAUUUUCAGAGUUUAGAUCUUAAGCAAAAGCACAUGGCUGGAAGGUUAAAUUAAUACCCUGUUGGGAUCCUCUCUCCGCUGCUCGGGAUUUUCAGCCAGGGCCCAGAAACAUGGCCAGGCAUGGGGGCCAGUGCGCCUCUUCUGUGAAGUGUCCCGAGCGCUUUAAAAACUCUCACCCACCAGCUCUGGCGGACACUAGAGGCCCCGUGCACAGCUGUCCUGUAAAUCAGCCGCCCCACGGGCCAAGGCCGGCUAUGCCCGAGAGCCGCUGGGGCUGGGGCAACCGGGUGGCGUCUGCUGCUGCUGGCUGGAGAACGUCAAGAACACGGCUCAGACACGGCCCCGUUUAAAACCGCGGUGGUACCGGCAUUAACCCCCGCAUCUCUCCAGCCACUUGGAUUCUUCCUGGGGAAGUCCUGACCUAGGAUGGUGGUGGCGAGGGGCACAGGGCUCUGGGACACGCGACCCACCUCCCCAGGAUGCUGGCGGCCGGCAGUGGCAUCGGGACGCACGGGCUGCUUGCCCUGCGGGUUCGGAGCAGGCCCAGCACUGAUGCAUCCACCACCCCCAGGGGCAAGCAGAAGGCCCAGUGGACGCUUCGCUGGGACCCCGCCAGGUUGGCAGCUCCUGUCCCCCCACCCACAGGCAGGCGCUCCCUCUCUUUCUGAAGCCUGGGGCUCCAGUCCACAGAGGCUGUGGCAACACGCUCCUCUCAGGAAUAAACUCGUGUGCCUGCCCACUGCUUCUCUUCCGCCCAGAGCUAUUUGCAGGGAGCUGGGGGCAGCUACUUGAAACCUGGGAUCACCGCACGUGCCCCACCCACGACGGCAUCUUGUGAGUCUGGAGAGCCAGUCCAGGUCCCUUGGCCCGGAGCUGGCAGCAUGAGCUGCGACGUGGUCACCGUGCUUGGAAGGUGGCCUGGGCUGACCCUGCAGGUGCGGGCCCUGUUCCUGCCACAGUGCCCCUCCCUGGGCUGGGGUCUCCACGCGGCUUCUCCCAGCCUUGCCCAUGAAGUCUGGCUCAAGUCUGGGGUUGGCCGGAUGGUUUCUCAGCCCUGGCAGCGGCGUCUUGUGCCAUCCCAGCUGCUCUGAGGCUGCCUCCCACCGGGACCGGGCCUUCCCCAGGCGACUGCCCCAUCUCCCUGUCCUUGCCCUAAGGGGCACUGCCGCGAAGCACAGCCAGGGACAAAGGGCGGUGGACGGCAGGGAUGCGCGAGGCACCCGGCACCCACAGGGGACGUUUCAGAAUGGCCCCGCCUGACCCGCUGGCCUAUGAGGAUGCAGCGGGAUGUUCUCUGCUAAGUCAUGUCCUGGAGAGCUGCAGCCUUCCCAAUACAGAGAGAAGCUGGAAAGUGCAAACUCACCUUCACAAGCAAAGGAAAGCCACACGGCUGCUUCCACACCCCAGCAUCUAAGAAGCUUAAACACACGAACAUACUGCACCUGGGCUUGGCCUAAACUGUGCUUUUUGUGUGGGUUUCAGAGAAGAUGGAUGCCUGCUCUGUAAAUCAGAGCCUCGUAAGACGCAUCCUAUCAGUGAGAAAGUGAGUGAGCGUCUGCAAGAGCGCCUGGGAGUCUCACCCGUGGAGGGGGGCCGCACAGGCCCAGUUCACGCUGUCGCCCGUGGAGGGGGCCGCACAGGCCCAGUUCAAGCUGUUGCCCGUGUUCCGGGCUCACCCUGCACCAGGCGGCCUCUGGCUACCUCCUGAUAUCAGCCAUGAGGGGCUGGGGUAGAGGUGGCGAAAGGAUGGGCUCAGAAAAAGGGCAGCUCAUUUUCAGGCUAAGCAACGGUGCAACAGAAACACCAAUCACCUGAGGGUGAGUUUAUGAAACUCGUUACAAAGAGCAGAGUGUGGAAGGCGAGUGCUGGCCUCAGGGCCGGCUGGCUUUACAAAGCAUAUUCCCACAGAGCAGGCUGGCUGCGGUGUCCAUGGCAGUCCCGUUGUCCAUGAUGGCUGCCCCAUCGUCCACGGCAGCCCCAGCGUCCAUGGGGACUGUCUGUGGAGGCGGCGCGCAGUGGUCAGCGGCGUGCAGAGCUGACAGGUAAACCGUCCCCGCAGACCCAGGCCUCACGCUUGCAUCCUCCGUGGAAGGCACGGAGGGCCCGUCCCAUGCCUGGUGCUGUUCUGGGGCCCAGCUUCUCUCUGAUGCCGCUGCAGAGUCUCUGCCUCGGUAGCAGUGACGUUGGGAGCUGAGUCCUGGAGGGGGGCUUCCGCCCCAGGUGAGCACGACGUUUCCAGGCCCCAUGCAGGUGCCAAUUCUGGCCACAGACGCAGGCAGUGAGCUGGGCAAGCCUCUCCUCCAGGACCUCCCCUCCCAAAGCCCCCGCCACGGCCAUCGUCAGCCAAAGAGCAUUCGGCACAAUCCUGGCCUCUUAAAGAACCCCCAAGCCUGGAAAAUGGGCUGCCAUCCCUACCCGGUAACAGGAGCCAGGACAUGAGUGGGCUUCACCCACCGCAGCCCCUCGAACGGUUCCUGUUCUAAAGCCCCAGCCGGGUCUAUGCAGCCCCAGGGCAGGCAGAGCCCCUCACCCAGGGCAGACCUGGGGGCUCAUCACAGCUCUUAAUGGCCCGGACCACAUCCUCCUCCCAACGUAGUCCCCUUGGCUGCCUUGGUGUGGCCUGGCUCCCGGGGGACAGCUGGGGUCUUCACGGCUCCCAGAUCAGGGCCCCCUUCUGCUACAAGACAGAGGUGACAAGAUCUGAGAAUAAAAAUCGGCAUGAGCAACACGGUGGCAGGCACAAGCCUGCCCCACCUGUUGGCUUCCUGUGUGGUUGGUGCCCGGCAGCUCCUGGCUCCUCGGGGGCUCUGUCUGCAGCACAGGGAGCACCUGGGGGUGGGCGGGGGGGGGCCUGGGGGCAAGAACGGGGGCCUGGGGAUGGGCAGGCAGGGGGGCAGGGGGCAGGCUCAGCCCUGUGGCUUUAGACAAGUGGGGUCACUGCUAUGGACGGACUCGUGUCCCCUCAACCUCAUGUUGAAGCCCUAACCCCCGUCCGCGUGACUCUACUUGAGAGUGGUGUUUGCAGGAGGUAACUGGGGGUUAAACAAUGUCAUCAGGGUGGGGCCCUGAUCCAACGGGACUGCCGUCCCACAGGGAGGGAGAGACAAAUCGCCUGUCCUGCCAUGUGAGGAUAUGGCAGGAUUUUGGCUGUCUGCAACUUGGAAUGGUCCUCACCAGAACCCGACCGUACCAGUCCCAACCUCGGACUUCCAGCCCCCAGAGCUGUGAGAAAUCAAUGUCUGUUGUUUACAAGGUGCCCAGCCGGUGGUGCUCCACUAUGGAAGCCCCAAAGACUGAGACAGUGCCCCGGACCCCCUUCUUCUGCCAACAGUACGGCCGGUGGUGCUCCACUAUGGAAGCCCCGAAGACUGAGACAGUGCCCCGGACUCCCUUCUUCCACCAACAGUACGGCCGGUAGUGCUCCACCAUGGAAGCCCCAAAGACUGAGACAGUGCCCCGGACCCCCUUCUUCCGCCAACAGUAACAUCUGGUCCCCAGGUGGCAUUGGGGGUGGGGAGAUCUAACGCUGAGCUGCCUGCAGGCUGCAGCUGCUGUGCACAGCAAAGAAUGAUCCCAAGACAGUUCCCUGCUCCCCCAUGCCCACAUUUUUAUGCAACCUUGUGUUCAGCUUGAAUUACUCUACCAGGGAUGCACUACAGUACUGGACAAAAGAGGUUUUGUUCAAAGUCUAAACCCCUGGAAAACAAAGAUCAGAUUGUCUUCUGUUUGCUGUAUGACAAGAAAGUCCAAGUUUUGCCAUCAACAUAAACAACCAGGAAUGACACCUCCGGGGCAUGACUUUUCUCAAACAAUGAAAGAAAACAGCGGAUGAAGCUGCCUUAUCACCCAUCCCUCGAGGCUGAGAGGCAUCAUUUCUCCUUGUUCAGAGCCAAGAUCAGUUUCCAGAGCAGGUGAGGGAUCCACGGCCCACCAUGGGGUAAAUCUGCACCAACCAGGCACCGCCUGAUGUGGGAGACAGAGAAGGGUCCUUCCGAACUCCAUCCGCCUUUGGGAAUUUGUGCUCUCUCACCGACUCUUCACUGGAGUUUCUGCUGAAGCGCGUUCCAAGGUUUCCAGGAAGGCAUGAUCUUCCGGAGUCACGACCACGUGAGUCUGGUGAGUAUUCCAACCAUGCACGCCACAGACCUCCAGGCUGAAACUGCAGCUCCGUGGAGGCUGACAACCGUGGCUAACCCUGGCCAUGUGUCCAGGACGGGCCCAGAUGCUUUUGUUCAUGAUCUCACUUUGCCCCCACACCCAUCCUGUGUGUCGGUCGGGGUGAGAGAAUUCCCUUUCCCUCAGGUUUAUCACGUCGACCCCGAGCAACAUCGGUGGGGGGCUUCCUACACAUACAGAAGCGUGAAAACAGACGCAGAGCUCAGGUACUUGAUGGGGGUCUCAGGUGGCAGCGACGGGGCCAGGACAGCACGGCAGCGAGGGGAAGCGCAAGUGGGGCCUCAGGCUGUGUGGUGGCCCCGUGCUGCUCCAGGGCACAGUGAGGUGGGAUCUGUUGCCCAAUUAGGCUGAUGACAAAGGACGCUCCCACAGACCACACAAGCCAAAACACAUCGGUCGGCUUUCGCCAAUCCUCGCCCGCGCUGCCCGCCGUGUUCUGUGGGGCGCGUGACUCACGCUCCCAGGCAGCUGUGGAGCCAGGCUUUGCCAUUCCGGCUGGAGCCACAGAGCCACGGUGGGGCAGCAGCAUGGCCGACGCCGCCCGGAGGCGGCUGCACGUGGACAGGCGGAUCCCUCCCAGGCGCGCGGCUGGCGUCGCCAAGCUCAGGGCGCCCCUCUUGCCCCACGCAUGUCCCAGAGCGCAGGCUUCCUGGCACCCAGCCUCCCCACUGACUCACACCUCCUGGUUUGUUUUUGGUGGCCCGUGGCCCUUAGAUUUCUCAACAAGCCCCUUCCCGCCCUCUCAUCCCAUCUCAGGCUCCCGGCCCCACCCCCCUUCUGGAGCCAGACUCGCCCAGCCCCAGGUGCGCCCGUCGGAUGCUGAGCCCUGUGGCUCUUUCACAGAAGUCUGGAUCCUGACGCUGGUUCCCUAAUUUACUCCCCUCAUCUCUGAUUUCUGCAGGAGCAAUCUUCCACCCCAAAUCCCUCCUGCUUUAAAACACGCUCUGAGGACACGCACGGCCUGAGCGUCGGGUGGCUAGGAUGCCUGGCGUCUUGCUGGGGGUGGUUUUGGCGAGCACAUCUCGGACCUCCCUUUCAAUUGGAGCCCUUCUUCUGACUUUUGGGGAGGUCUCCUGGGAGGCCUGGUGGGGCCAGCACCCCACAGCAUGUGAGAGAGAAUUCCUUUCCCUCAGGUUUACAACGUUGACAGUGAGCGUGAGAACACGCUUCCCUCACAACGUCGACAGUGAGCAUGAGAACACGCUUCCCUCGCAACGUCGACAGUGAGCGUGAGAACACACUUCACUCAGGUUUACAGUGUCGACGGUGAGCAUGAGAACACGCUUCCAUCGCAACGUCGACAGUGAGCGUGAAAACACCCUUCCCUCACAACGUUGACAGUGAGCGUGAGAACACGCUUCCCUCGGGUUUACAACGUCGACGGUGAGCGUGAGAACACGCUUCCCUCGCAACGUCGACAGUGAGCGUGAAAACACCCUUCCCUCACAACGUUGACAGUGAACGUGAGAACACGCUUCCCUCAGGUUUACAACGUUGACAGUGAGCGUGAGAACACGCUUCCCUCAGGUUUACAACGUCGACGGUGAGCGUGAGAACACACUUCCCUCAGGUUUACAACGUCGACGGUGAGCGUGAGAACACGCUUCCCUCAGGUUUACAACGUCGACAGUGAGUGUGAGAACAUGCUUCCCUCAGGUUUACAAUGUCGACAGUGAGCGUGAGAACACGCUUCCCUCACGUCGAGUGAGUGUGAGAACACACUUCCCUCAGGUUUACAACGUCGACAGUGAGCGUGAGAACACGCUUCCCUCAGGUUUACGUCGACAGCGAGCGUGAGAACACGCUUCCCUCAGGUUUACGUCGACAGUGAGCGUGAGAACACGCUUCCCUCAGGUUUACGUUGACAGCGAGCGUGAGAACACGCUUCCCUCAGGUUUACAACGUCGACAGUGAGCGUGAGAACACGCUUCCCUCAGGUUUACGUUGACAGCGAGCGUGAGAACACGCUUCCCUCAGGUUUACGUCGACAGUGUGAAAACGCUUCCCUCGCAACGUCGACAGUGAGCGUGAGAACACGCUUCCCUCAGGUUUACAAUGUCGACAGUGAGCGUGAGAACACGCUUCCCUCACAACGUCGACAGUGAGUGUGAGAACACGCUUCCCUCAGGUUUACAACGUUGACAGUGAGUGUGAGAACACACUUCCCUCAGGUUUACGUCAACAGUGAGCGUGAGAACACGCUUCCCUCAGGUUUAUGUCGACAGCGUGAGAAUACACUUCCCUCACAAUGUCGACAGUGAGUGUGAGAACACGCUUCCCUUGCAACGUCGACAGUGAGUGUGAGAACACGCUUCCCUCAGGUUUACAACGUCGACAGUGAGCGCGAGAACACGCUUCCCUUGCAAAGUUGACAGUGAGAGAACACGCUUCCCUCAGGUUUACGUCGACGGUGAGCGUGAGAACACGCUUCCCUCAGGUUUACAACGUCGACAGUGAGCGCGAGAACACGCUUCCCUCAGGUUUACAAUGUCGACAGUGAGCGUGAGAACACGCUUCCCUCAGGUUUACGUCGACAGUGAGCGCGAGAACACGCUUCCCUCAGGUUUACGUCGACAGUGAGCAUGAGAACACGCUUCCCUCAGGUUUACGUCGACAGCGAGCGUGAGAACACGCUUCCCUCAGGUUUACAACGUCGACAGCGAGCGUGAGAACACGCUUCCCUCAGGUUUACAACGUCGACAGUGAGCGUGAGAACACGCUUCCCUCAGGUUUACGUUGACAGCGAGCGUGAGAACACGCUUCCCUCAGGUUUACGUCGACAGUGAGUGUGAAAACGCUUCCCUCGCAACGUCGACAGUGAGCGCGAGAACACGCUUCCCUCAGGUUUACAAUGUCGACAGUGAGCGUGAGAACACGCUUCCCUCACAACGUCGACAGUGAGUGUGAGAACACGCUUCCCUCAGGUUUACAACGUUGACAGUGAGUGUGAGAACACACUUCCCUCAGGUUUACGUCAACAGUGAGCGUGAGAACACGCUUCCCUCAGGUUUAUGUCGACAGCGUGAGAAUACACUUCCCUCACAACGUCGACAGUGAGUGUGAGAACACGCUUCCCUUGCAACGUCGACAGUGAGUGUGAGAACACGCUUCCCUCAGGUUUACAACGUCGACAGUGAGCGCGAGAACACGCUUCCCUUGCAACGUCAACAGUGAGUGUGAGAACACGCUUCCCUCAGGUUUACAACGUCGACAGUGAGCGCGAGAACACGCUUCCCUCAGGUUUACGUCGACAGUGAGCGCGAGAACACGCUUCCCUCAGGUUUACGUCGAUAGUGAGCGUGAGAACACGCUUCCCUGGGGUUUACGUCGACAAUGAGCUGAGAACACGCUUCCCUCAGGUUUACAAUGUUGACAGUGAGCAUGAGAACACGCUUCCCUCGCAACGUUGACAGUAAGCGUGAGAACACGCUUCUCUCACUUGCCGUCUGAAGAGCGAGGCAACCGACAAAAACUGAAAUUUAAUAAAAGCUGUCUCCCUCAGGUGGUUGUGGGGCCUUCAGUAGAACAGGGAUGAGGGGCCCACAGGCCGCUGUUCACAGGUGGGGCCAGCCCAGCUCCAACCCCAGAAGCACUCGGCAGCUGGGCUCCCAGAAUUCUCACCCCUGUGGCGACCUGGAGCGUGGCGCAGGCCACGCUGUGGGCUGGAAAUGUCAGCAUCAUCCGCUCUGUCUGAAAUCAGUGCCCGCAGCCCCCCACGAGACAGAUUCCCGGCCCUGCCUGCUUGUAUCUGGGGGCACAAGUGCACCCCUCACACAAGCCCCAGGCCACGCGGACGCCGCCUUUCUAACCAGACCUGGGCAGGGUUCCCACGUUCCAGGUUCGCCUCUCUCCUUUAAUGCUGACGUGCUGGAAUAACCUCUCGGAACUGCCAACCUUCCUGGCACCAGAUCAUCCCUCAGCCCUCCUAACGCGCCUUCCGGGAGAUUAAAUUCAGGCGCAGUUACACAAAAACAGUGACAGACAAGCCGCUCAGGAAGCCUCUCUGUGGGCAUGUGUGUUCCAGCCUCUAACUGCAGACAACAUUUUCACUUUCCUCACCGGGCAGCACCCCGGGAUGUCAGGAGGGGCGGCCGGCAGGACUCCCCGAGGGCUAUGCCCACUCCGUUCAUGGGGCUCAUACAUUCUGCUGGGAACUUCUCCCCAUUUAAUGCCUGCCCCCCGCCCCAGGGAGGGUGAAGGGAACUCUCCCUCUGGGCCCCAUCACAGACCAUCAGCCAGAGGUGUCAGCCCCACCUGAGCCCGGGGGCCCCCUGCACUCAGAUGCCUGAUUCCCGGAGGCCGACCACUGCGACCUUCUGACUCAAAAGGAGACGUGAGGCCCCCUGAAGACGGGAGGCGGGGCCGGGACAGGGGCUGCGGACUGAGCUCAUCUUCGGCCGAGUCAUCGGAGGAUGCCUUUGGCACUGAGACGAGGAGUGCGGGCGGCUGGUGGCCAAGGCGUGUCCCCAGCCCGCCCCCCACAAGCACCGGACACCUCGGGCACCUGGAUUCCAAAUGCUUGGAGCUCUCGGAGGGGCCUCCCUGUGCUGCCUGUGGGGAUGGCAAUUUUGAAGGAAAACCUACAAUGAGACUUGACUUUACAAACAUGUACGUGAAAUGAAUUCCACAGCUGGAGUGUAAGUGGGUUCACUGUUGUCACCUUGUGCAUUUCAACGGCACAUUUCACAACCCUAGGAGUCCGCCCCUCACUGCCGUGACCCCCGGGCAUGCAGACCCGAAGCUCAUCGGCACAGCGGAAACCUAGACUGCUAACGACCCCAUGAUGACGGUGUAGAAAAGGGAAAAAGCCAAGAGCAGCUUUGAGUCAGGGCGGUGCUUGCUAAGCAGCUGUCUUCCACCCACACCCACCCGUCCUGCCUCCACCUCCAGGGUCGGCAGAAGCAGAGCUGGCAACUAUCUCUCGGACCACAUGGCAGAAGCCAUCUGAGCUGGACCCCAAGACACAGAUGCACAGCACGGAGGACGCAGGUCCUGGAGCGGCCUCGGCGUCCUCAGACCCAGCCGGGGUUGCAGAGGCAGGAAGUGCAGCGGGCACGCGGGACGGAACACGGAUACCUGGGUGCUGGUUUCUAUUCAUUAUUUAUUUAACAACCACACUGACAGUGGCCUCGAGGUAGGCCCAGCGUCAACACUGGGGAUCUCGCCCUGCGGCAGCCUGGGGGCUCUGCCUGAGGGGCUCACAGUCUGGUGCAGGUUGCGGUCGCAGCCCCCAGGACCAGGUGGGGUGACAGGGAGCCGGGGAGCCCCUGGGGGCUGGUGGGGCUGGUCAGUGUGCUUGUGGGGACCUGGGAUGGUCACCCAGGGACUAUGGUGCUACGUCCAGGAGAGAAGAGACGACGGAGGCAAAGAGAGGGAGAACGGGCGAAGGCUGGUGCCCAGGGUGAGCCUGGGGAACCUGGCCUGCGUUGAGCCAUGCUGGAGCAGAUGGGGGGUGGAGGGUGCAGCCGAGACACUGGGCAGGGGGUGCAGGAGAGAUGUCCACGCUGGGCACAAUGCUGAGAGGGGAGCCGGGGCCAAUCGAGGCAGGAGUGUGGCUGGUAGGACAGGACGGCCGGCUGCCAGGUGGGGUGUGGACUGGAGGUAGCAGGAGCGGCUCAGCCCCACCGGCUUCAUGCUGUGGCCACGGUCCUGGGGGCCGCCACCUCCCACCUGUGAAGGGCAGGCACGCUCCCCGCACGCCCCUUCUGCCUCUGAGAUACGUGAUCUGUGCUAAAGUCAGUGCUGCUCAAACCCACGGUGGGGACUGCCGCAUGCUGA